rnacentral:lncRNA from 1 species
GCUGGAAUUAGAUGUAAUCCGAGAUCUAAGAAGUCGGAGGGACUUGUAAGGUAAGUCCGCACUAGCGGGUAUUCCAGCAAGAGAUCUUUUGAUGUUCAAGUUAGUCAAAACUCAAAAACAUUAAAAGGAAAAGAGAAGGGUGAAGAGAGAGGAGACCACUUUUUAUCCGAAAAGUUCUCUCCAAAUUAUCUUCUUCACUUCGUUUAUAAGGAGCUAAAGUCAUAGACUGUUAGUCAGAAUCCGUAGAUUAUUAGAUCUAAUUCUAUAGAUCAUUGGACCUCGUUUUGAUAGUUCGUUGGGAAGA